GCCCGGGUGGUGAAACUGGUAGACACGCAGCGUUCAGGUCGCUGUGGGGGCAACCCCUUGGGAGUUCGAGUCUCCCCCCGGGCACGA
rnacentral:tRNA from 1 species